rnacentral:rRNA from 1 species
UGCGGUUAAAAAGCUCGUAGUUGGAUCUCGGCAAGUAGAGGGCGGUAUGCUUCGUAGCAUUACUGCCCUAUUACUUGUAGUUUUGCCAGAGGUUCCUGGGUGCUCUUAAUCGAGUGUCUAGGGAUGCUGGCAGGUUUACUCUGAAAAAAUUAGAGUGCUCAAAGCAGGCUAUUACGCUUGAAUAUUCGUGCAUGGAAUAAUAGAAUAGGAAGUUGUUUCUAUUUUGUUGGUUUUCGGAAAUCGACUUAAUGAUUAAUAGGGACAGUCGGGGGCAUUUGUAUUCAAACGACAGAGGUGAAAUUCUUGGACCGUUUGAAGACAAACUACUGCGAAAGCAUUUGCCAAGAAUGUUUUCAUUAAUCAAGAACGAAAGUUAGAGGUUCGAAGGCGAUUAGAUACCGCCCUAGUUCUAACCAUAAACGAUGCCAGCUAGCGAUCUGAGGACGUUUUUUUUGUAGACUCCUCAGGAAGCUUCCGGGAAACCAAAGCGUGUGGGUUCCGGGGGAAGUAUGGUUGCAAAGCUGAAACUUAAAGGAAUUGACGGAAAGGCACCACCAGGAGUGGA